rnacentral:rRNA from 1 species
AUUGAACGCUGGCGGCAGGCCUAACACAUGCAAGUCGAGCGGAGCGGCGGACGGGUGAGUAAUGCCUAGGAAUCUGCCUGGUUGAGGGGGAUAACGACAGGAAACGGGCGCUAAUACCGCAUACUACCAGAUGAGCUGAGGUCGGAUUAGCUAGUUGGUGGGGUAAAGGCCUGCCAAGGCAACGAACCGUAACUUGACGGAGAGGAUGAUCAGUCACACUGGAACUGUGACACGGUCCAGCCUCCUACGGUAGGCAGCGGUGGGGAAUAUUGGACAUUGGGCGAAAGCCUGAUCCAUCCAUGCCGCGUGUGUGAAGAAGUUCUUCGGAUUGUAAAGCACUUUUAGUUGGGAGGCGUUACCAACAGAAUAAGCACCGGCUAGCUUCGUGCCAGCAGCCGCGGUAAUUC